AAAUUGAAGAGUUUGAUCAUGGCUCAGAUUGAACGCUGGCGGCAGGCCUAACACAUGCAAGUCGAGCGGAAACGAGUUAUCUGAACCUUCGGGGAACGAUAACGGCGUCGAGCGGCGGACGGGUGAGUAAUGCCUAGGAAAUUGCCCUGAUGUGGGGGAUAACCAUUGGAAACGAUGGCUAAUACCGCAUGAUGCCUACGGGCCAAAGAGGGGGACCUUCGGGCCUCUCGCGUCAGGAUAUGCCUAGGUGGGAUUAGCUAGUUGGUGAGGUAAGGGCUCACCAAGGCGACGAUCCCUAGCUGGUCUGAGAGGAUGAUCAGCCACACUGGAACUGAGACACGGUCCAGACUCCUACGGGAGGCAGCAGUGGGGAAUAUUGCACAAUGGGCGCAAGCCUGAUGCAGCCAUGCCGCGUGUGUGAAGAAGGCCUUCGGGUUGUAAAGCACUUUCAGUCGUGAGGAAGGUGGUGUAGUUAAUAGCUGCAUUACUUGACGUUAGCGACAGAAGAAGCACCGGCUAACUCCGUGCCAGCAGCCGCGGUAAUACGGAGGGUGCGAGCGUUAAUCGGAAUUACUGGGCGUAAAGCGCAUGCAGGUGGUUUGUUAAGUCAGAUGUGAAAGCCCGGGGCUCAACCUCGGAAUAGCAUUUGAAACUGGCAGACUAGAGUACUGUAGAGGGGGGUAGAAUUUCAGGUGUAGCGGUGAAAUGCGUAGAGAUCUGAAGGAAUACCGGUGGCGAAGGCGGCCCCCUGGACAGAUACUGACACUCAGAUGCGAAAGCGUGGGGAGCAAAC
rnacentral:rRNA from 1 species